rnacentral:tRNA from 1 species
AAGAAUAAUGGGUUAUUGAGAAAUUGCUAUUUUUUUGAUAUUGGGUUCGACUCCUAGUUGUUUUUG